UACGGAGGGUGCGAGCGUUGUUCGGAAUUAUUGGGCGUAAAGCGCGCGCAGGCGGCUCUCUAAGUCCAUGGGUAAAAGGCCGGGGCUCAACCCCGUGUACGCCCAGGAUACUGGGGAGCUGGAGACACGUAGAGGCAAGCGGAAUUCCGGGUGUAGCGGUGGAAUGCGUAGAGAUCAGGAAGAACACCAGUGGCGAAGGCGCUCUGCUAGGCCGUAACUGACACUGAGGGACGAAAGCUAGGGGAGCGAAUGGG
rnacentral:rRNA from 1 species